CUCAGUCGUCACGAGGGUCGGAUGGGAUGGUGCCUAUAUAAUGAAGUAGCGUAUUUGCACUUUCAUGAAUCAUUAUUUGAGCACCAUAUUGUCUACUCUAGCCAUCAACAAAUGGAUGCCAAUCCUUGCCUACUAGUUUUCAUGUUGGUCCUCGGCCUCGGCCUCCUACUUUCACAUACCACUCAUGUAGUUGAGGCUAACGAGGCUGUUUCUGCUCCUUCCUCUGCUGACGCUAAUGUUCCUUCCUUUGAUUUCCCGUAUAAGUUUAAGGCUGUGUCCAAAAGGCUGAAAUCUAACCCAUUUCGACCAACUCCGUCUUUUCCUAAAUAUUACGUUCACGCCUGGAUACCACCUAAGUUCCCAUGGAAACCACCUAAGUUCCCAUGGAAACCACCUAGGUACCCCCAGAAACCACCUAGGUCCCCCCGGAAACCACCUAGGCGAAACUGGAACAGGAGUCCACCUCCUCCACCGCCACGCUUGUUACCACUAUCGCAACCACCGGUGUAACAUUAGCCAGCUGCUAGAUGGAAAGUCCUUGGCUACACAAUUCUACUUGAAUAAAAUUGAGUCUCUGCUCCAAGAUUUUAUCAGAUCUGUUUCUCGCUUGUCUUUCCUGAGAAGCGAAUUUCUUCGCGCAAGCUCCCUGGAAGAUGAUGGCUGCUACCAGAGCAGAAGCUUUGAUUUCCUGGCACCUUCCGUCCACUAUUCCUGAUAUUAUCUUUCUUUUUUUCUUUUUUUUUUUAAUGAAAUGCCUGAUUUUCCUGUGUUUUUUGUUCUUGCUGUGCUUUCAAUGUUGUGUACAACUUUUACAAAUUAAUGCAAUAUGUAGGACUUAAACUUUA